rnacentral:sRNA from 1 species
GCUGGGCAAGGCAGUGCACGCCUGUAAUCCCACCAGCGUGGGAGGCUGAGACAGGAGAAUUGUGAGUUCAAAGUCGGCCUCAGCAAAAAUGAGGUGCUAAGCAGCUCAGUGAGACCCUGUCUCUA